UACAACCAUAUCAUGUUGAAUUACCGGCUUUUGUAUGAUCAUAAAAGUUAAGCAACGUUGAGCCUGGUUAGUACCUAGAUGGGAGACCACUUGGGAAUACUAGGUACUGUAAG